GAUGAACGCUAGCGGCAGGCCUAAUACAUGCAAGUCGAACGGUGAUAGCAAUAUCAUAGUGGCGCACGGGUGCGUAACACGUAUGCAACCUACCUAUUAUUGGGGGAUAGCCUUUGGAAACGGAGACUAAUACCGCAUAAUACGAUUGACUGGCAUCGGUUGAUUGUUAAGGCUUCGGCGAUAAUAGAUGGGCAUGCGUCCAAUUAGUUAGUUGGUGAGGUAAUGGCUGACCAAGACGAUGAUUGGUAGGGGAUCUGAGAGGAUAAUCCCCCACACUGGCACUGAGAUACGGGCCAGACUCCUACGGGAGGCAGCAGUAGGGAAUAUUGGGCAAUGGAGGGAACUCUGACCCAGCCAUGCCGCGUGCAGGAAGAAGGCGUUAUGCGUUGUAAACUGCUUUUUUAUAGGAAGAAGGAUCUCUUGCGAGAGAAGGUGACGGUACUAUAAGAAUAAGCACCGGCUAACUCCGUGCCAGCAGCCGCAGUAAAAC
rnacentral:rRNA from 1 species